GUCUGUUCUACCGACCGAGUUUUGAUUUCCAGUCCGGAAUCAAAGUUACUAUUGCCGCAAGGAGACGAAGCCAUUCCCGCCGGUUUCUUUUAAUCACUGGUGCGACGUACAGGUCCUGACCAGAUGGCCACUGGUGAUGGAGAAGACCUGGAUUCCAUUGGCCACGCUCACUCGUCUUUAUCGAUGAUGCAAUGGAGGAUGGCAGCAGUAGGAUGAAUUUGGAAGUGUACAGACAGAUUUUUCCUCGAUGUGUGCAAAGAAAUUCCUCCUACCUCAGUGGCCUGCACUUCAUCCAGCAGCAAGACAAUGAUCCCGAACACUGCCUACUCAACCAGAGCAUUCAUCAAUGGGAAAAAGUGGAAAGUUUUGGGCUAAGUCAGUCACCUGUUUUAAAUCCAAUCAAGCAUGCAUUUCACUUGCUGAAGAGGAGAGUGAAGACAGAAACCCUCCGAAAUAAAGAUCAAUUGAAAGCGGCGGCACCGAAGGCCAGGAAAGGCAUUUCCAAAAACAACACCAAAUGAUUCACGAUGUUAAUUUGUCGUAGACUUAGAUAAUCUGUGAACUUACGUUUGUACAGUUGAAAAUGGGGGAACUCAACACAUAAACAGCUGUUUCAGUAAAAUGGUAAAACAUAUACACAUGGCAGGUAAAUACCAUGAUAUGAAAGCUGGUUGUCUGUACUUUUGCCUCAUAUUCAUCUUUUGAUGUCUAAUCAAAAUGCCAAAAAUGAUACAUUUCACUCUAAUAUACUUUUGGAGGGCACUGUAUGUGUCCUGGGGCACAUGUUAAAGGGAACCCCGCCUGUUAAGACUUAGGCAUUCAUAUGGUGUAAAUGCCUUCAAUAAUAUAAAUAUGCCAUAAAAACCACAUAAAAGAUUUUAGUUAUUUUAAAAUGAGUAAAAAUCCUUUUGGCUCACAGGUCACCAUUGUUAAUACCAUCACAAUGCACUCUGGGUAGUGAUGUAAAAUGGUUGUCGGUCCAUUGCUCUUGUCCAUUGAAUGGCAUUGAAAAUGUUUUCUGUUCAGCCUUUUCGAUUCGGGCCAGAGCGGGACAUUACUCAUCAAAUAAAUCAAAACGAUUAAGAUUGGAGUCCAGAUAACAACAUAACAAUUUCUCUAUCCUCAUGGACCAGGUCAAACUGGGUUUAACAAGUUUAUGUCUACCUCUAUCUUCUGGGGCACAUAAUUCAUUUUAGAAGAAUGUGCUACCUAAAUUCUUUUAACCUUUUGUCUCCCAAACUGCAUAAUACUGUUGAUUAUUAUUUCUGCGUACACAUAGAAAGGGAAAUAUCUGUCCAUAUGUAAUUUUUAUUUUAUUUUUAUUUAACCAGGAAAACCCCAUUGAG